GGCCGCCUGGCGAAAUGGCAUCGCGUCUGACUACGAUAAAACAAGGCAGGUUGUUCUCGUAAUCAGGAGAUUGCAGGUUCGACCCCUGCGGUGGUCA